rnacentral:lncRNA from 1 species
CGAUUUAUUCAUUUAUUUAUUUUUGUUUUGUUUUGUUUACAAAUUGCACUUAGCCUCCCCUUGGGGCCUCCUGCCAGGCUGGGGGAGGCUUUGUGGGAUGGCGCACCCCAUCCCACCUGCCCUACGGCUCCUGGGAAGGCCCAGGCUCCCUGGCUUUUUGUGGGAACAGGAAUGAGGACAGGGGACAAUGGGCCUGGGCGUCAUCUGCCCACCCGCAAUGCCUCAGGCAGGCUGGAUUCCACCUGAGGCCCCGCCUGGGGCUGUGCUGACCCCCUACGGCCACCUGGGGGGAGGGGACAUGCCUGAGGCUGGCGGGGCUGCAGGAAGGAACCCCCGGGAGUGGCUCCUCAAGCUCUGGCCUCUUCGGGAGCCACCGUCCUCUGAGCACCCUGGACCCCGCCUCAGGUUCCGGGUGGGGGAGCUCUGCCCUCUGAAGGAUGUGAGGUCUUCUUGCCCCCGAAACCUCCCGGGCCUGUGUUCGCCAUCCCACGACGACGAGGUGAAUCAAGUACGUAUUUUUAUUUGUUUUUGGUACCAGGGAUUGAGCUCAGGGGCACUUGACCACUGAGCCACACCCCAGCCCUAUUUUGUGUUAUAUUUAGAGACGGGGUCUCCCUGAGUUGCUUAGGGCCUCACGGAGGCUGAGGCUGGGGCUGGCUUUGAACUAGCGAUCCUCCUGCCUCAGCCUCCUGAGCAGCUGCCCCACUGUGCCCGGCUUAUUGGACCAUAAAUCCCGAGCAGGUAGAAACGAACAAGCACAACUGGGCACUCCUGGUUAGUACCAGGGAGGUCACAGAGUCAUGUUCAUGGAUCAGUAACUUUGUUUCAAAACAAAAAAACAGGCUCGGGUAACGAUGGCCAAGCCCCUCAUGCAGAGAACUGUGAGGACCCUGCAUGUCGCCGCCCUGACCAGGCCGCAUGAGGGCCCCUGCAGCCUCCUCCUUGGGGCACCGCCUUGCGCAUGCACGAGACCCAACACACGCUUGGUUUGUGCACAGAAGAGUCGUCUUACAAGAGGUCCCCGCGCGCUCUGUAGUGCCUUUUUAAAUUAUUACUUUCAAUAUGGUUGGUGCAAUUUUAAUCAGUACGAUUUAAUAGGGAUUUCAUCACACGGGCACCCGGGGAGCUGGCCGAACCCUCUGUGGCGGGCAUUUCCCAUCCCCCGCCCCAGUCUUUAACUUUUAUAAACAACGCUGCCUGCCGUGGACACCUGUCCUGGAGAACACCUGCUAUCUGCUGGGAUAAGUGCCCACAGGUCCAUUUCUAGGUUGCUUUAACACUUCUGGUCACUGAGCACCAUGCUGGACCCCGCUGCUCUGCCCCAGGCCCUUGGGUGGCCCCUUCAGCACACAAUGAGAAGGUCCAUUCCCCACACCCACUUUUUUUUUUUUUUUUGGUCUUUGCCAAUCUGAUAGGUAGGAAUGAUGAGUCACUGCAGCUCUGAUUGCAUUUCCUUGAUUCCUGGCAGAGCAGAGCUUGUCUUCACAUUUGCAUUCACCUCGGUAAAUAGUUGAUUUUAUAAUAAGGGGUUUGCCAUUUCCUAUUGUUUCCCCAAAACUCUUUGUAUAUGAAGGAUAUUAACCCUUCCUAAGGAUCCCACAAGGGACAAGGAUGGAAGCUUCUCUCCUUUCCCUCCUCCCCUCCUCCCUUCCUUGGGUUCCCUUGUGCUUUCGAAGGAUGUGCCUAAUGUUCUGGCCAGCAGCUCAUGAAUUACACUAGGAAGUCACUUUAAGGACAAACCCACUUAACCACGUCCUUUGUUCCCGCCUCCUGAUAAGCUCUGAGCCAGCUCCUUCAUCACCCCCAUCCUUCCUCAAUGAGGGGCAGGUUGCAGGCUGGGAAGGAGGUUUCAUUUUCACUGUGACUCGCUGACGCGCUGCCAGACAGCUGUUUACAUAGGAAAUGACUUGAUGACACUGUGCAGCCAACGGAGGCCUCAGAACGCGGGACCCAGAAACAGAGGUCAAGGCCGUUCACUGUGCAGAGCAACGCAGCCCCCCACAGCUCCCACCAAAAGUAACAACAGUUUUCCAGGGAAAACUAAGAACAGGGUCAUGGUUUCCUACUAAAAACGUGUGAAGGAAAGACUUCUGAGAGGAGACGGAGGCUUCUAAGAGCCCAGCUGCCCUCUCAAAUUAGACCAGCGGGCAACUGCCUGUCUUUGUGACCUUGGGAAAAUCACUUAACUGCCCUGGAUCUCCAUUUCUUCACUCGUAAAAUCAGCCUCAAAAGGAACCAGUGAGAGGGUUAAAUGAGAUAAUGCAUAGGAAGCCCUUUUUAGUUAGAAUGUCUUCAGCCCAAUAAAAAGAACUCUUGACUAAAGGUAGAAAAAAGAGAGAGAGAGAGAGAGAGAGAGAGAGGAUUUAUGAUUUCAGCUAACAGGGCUGUUCAGUUUGGAAGCCUGAAGCCGUAACCAAGGACUCACACCCUUCCCAUUUUCCUGGCCUGUCAUUAAUUAUAGAUGCCUCUCCUCAAGGUUUCCAUAUGGCUGCUGCAGUUCCAGGCAUCACAUGCAGACAUGAUAAUAUCAAGCAAAGAAGAGGAGGGAUAUUUCCUUCCAUGCAUCUCCUUUUAUGAGAGAUUCCCCUACGGACUUCCCAAUGGUUCAGAUCGAUCACAUGUUCAGAUCAAUCACUGAUGGUGGGAAAAAAAUCACAACAAUUGGCCUAGACCACACCACUGCCUUUGAGGCUGGGAAGGGGAAUGUUCCCUUUCCCUGAUCACCUGGGUAGGUGCACACCUGGCAAACAAAUCCACGGGAAGAAGGCUUGUGGGAGGGGGUAACCACGGGACCACAGCACAGGUCCUGGCGUAUACUAGGUGCUGGAGGCUGGCAUUCUGCAAGCUCCAGCGGGGGUCUGGGCAGCCCUCCACACGGGAAGGCCACGACUAACUGUCCAGGGAGUCCCUGGGAGCCGGACCCGUGUCCAAGUCCCCGCUCCCCAUCUCCACGUGGCGGGCCUAAGGACACGCAGGCCAAGGCGCCAUGUUUGACCUCAGCCUCUUCUCCUCCUCGGCCUCCCCAGUCCUCCUCUCUGCCCAC